rnacentral:rRNA from 1 species
AGAACGUAACGAAAUGCGAUACUUGGUGUGAAUUGCAGAAUCCCGUGAACCAUCGAGUCUUUGAACGCAAGUUGCGCCCGAAACCAUUAGGUUGAG